GACGUAGGGCGCGAGCGUUGUCCGGAUUUAUUGGGCGUAAAGAGCUCGUAGGCGGCUUGUCGCGUCGACUGUGAAAACCCGCGGCUCAACUGCGGGCCUGCAGCCGAUACGGGCAGGCGUAGAGUUCGGUAGGGGAGACUGGAAUUCCUGGUGUAGCGGUGAAAUGCGCAGAUAUCAGGAGGAACACCUGCGGUGUAGACGGCUUACGUGGACCAUGACUGACGCUGAGGCACGAAAGCGUGGGGAGCAAACAGG
rnacentral:rRNA from 1 species